AAAGUCGUAACAAGGUUUCCGUAGGUGAACCUGCGGAAGGAUCAUUAUUGUGAUUGCCGCACCCGGUAAAAGGGGUGUGAGCAAGCCAUCCUUGUGUUGUGUGUGAAUGUUGUGUGUAUGUGUGCACAUGCAAAUGUGACACCUACAUGCCCAUUUUUAACCCUUUCUACUUUGUCUAAUUAUACCGCUCGAAAGAGCACACAAACAACCGAAAACUGCCAGCAAUGGAUCACUCGGUUCUC
rnacentral:misc_RNA from 1 species